UACGGGGGGGGGCAAGCGUUGUUCGGAAUUACUGGGCGUAAAGGGCUCGUAGGUGGCCAACUAAGUCAGACGUGAAAUCCCUCGGCUUAAUCGGGGAACUGCGUCUGAUACUGGAUGGCUUGAGUUCGGGAGAGGGAUGCGGAAUUCCAGGUGUAGCGGUGAAAUGCGUAGAUAUCUGGAGGAACACCGGUGGCGAAGGCGGGUCUCUGGGCAACAACUGACGCUGAGGAGCGAAAGCGUGGGGAGCGAACAGG
rnacentral:rRNA from 1 species